rnacentral:rRNA from 1 species
UACAGAGGUGGCAAGCGUUGUUCGGAAUUACUGGGCGUAAAGGGCGCGUAGGCGGUUCGGUAAGUCCUGUGUGAAAUCCCUCGGCUCAACUGAGGAACUGCACGGGAGACUGCCGGGCUUGAGUUCGGGAGAGGGAAGCGGAAUUCCGGGUGUAGCGGUGAAAUGCGUAGAUAUCUGAAGGAACAUCAGUGGCGAAAGCGACUUCCUGGACCAAUACUGACGCUCAUGUGCGAAAGCGUGGGGAGCAAACAGG